AUUGAACGCUGGCGGCAGGCCUAACACAUGCAAGUCGAGCGGAUGAAGGGAGCUUGCUCCUGGAUUCAGCGGCGGACGGGUGAGUAAUGCCUAGGAAUCUGCCUGGUAGUGGGGGAUAACGUCCGGAAACGGGCGCUAAUACCGCAUACGUCCUGAGGGAGAAAGUGGGGGAUCUUCGGACCUCACGCUAUCAGAUGAGCCUAGGUCGGAUUAGCUAGUUGGUGGGGUAAAGGCCUACCAAGGCGACGAUCCGUAACUGGUCUGAGAGGAUGAUCAGUCACACUGGAACUGAGACACGGUCCAGACUCCUAAGGGAGGCAGCAGUGGGGAAUAUUGGACAAUGGGCGAAAGCCUGAUCCAGCCAUGCCGCGUGUGUGAAGAAGGUCUUCGGAUUGUAAAGCACUUUAAGUUGGGAGGAAGGGCAGUAAGUUAAUACCUUGCUGUUUUGACGUUACCAACAGAAUAAGAACCGGCUAACUUCGUG
rnacentral:rRNA from 1 species